AAAAAGGCAAACCCUGGUUUCCGUGUCCAAUAUUUGACCGUCCGUCUUAUUUGAAAAAAAUAUGAAAAAAAUUAAAAAGACAAGUCACGCAUAAAAUAUUAAUCAUGUUUUAUCAUUUAACAACAACGAAAAUACGAAUUAUAAAAAAAUUUUAUAUAAGACGGACAGUCAAAGUUGGACACGAAAAUUCAGGGUUUACUUUUUU
rnacentral:pre_miRNA from 1 species